CAUUAAGUUUAUUGUUUCUGGGUUUUUUUUUUAAUGUAAUUCUGGAAUGAAGAUAAUAAAAUUAUGAAAAACACUGAUAAAAAAAAAGUGGUGCCAAGAAAAUACUUCAGAAAAUAUGUCAGUUGCCAUACAUAUCUGAAUCCAAACUCUUUCAUUUUAGAACUCGGGAAGCAAUACUUUGUUGAUGCUUGUCUGUGCCAAAUUCUUGUGUUGUCAUGGAUUUACUAGAUUUGUCUACAACCUUCUUGCAUGCGCACUUUUAAUAUAUAUUUAUAUAUUUGAAACAAAAGAAACUAUUUCUGCAACUAGUCUAAAAUGGGUGCUACUGAUUCAGAGAACUGGGGCACUGUCCUCUUCUAUUACAAGUUAUGAACUGACCCAAAUGACUCUAUACAUGAGAAAAGAAGACGAGAAAUUAAGUGGAUCAUUUCGUAAUAGCUUUGUUCCAGCCUAAAGUCCUUGACCAUGCUAACAUGUUUUCUUUCAGGCACUGAUGCUUAACAAAUCCAGUUCAAGAUGAGCAGGCUUCUGGUGAAUUUGGAAAUUUGCUCCCCAGGUGCCAGAUCAAUGCUCAAUCUGGAGACAUUUAGCUUUGUUUGAGUUCAUCCUUUUUCUUAUUAUUUUGAAGAAUUUUUGUUUCAGUCACUUUAUGGUAUGGUUAAAUAGACUGAUCACUUCUGGAAAA